GGGCUCAACUUGGAGAUUGCAUUUGAAACUGGGUAUCUUGAGGGUAGGAGAGGAAAGUGGAAUUCCUAGUGUAGCGGUGAAAUGCGUAGAUAUUAGGAGGAACACCAGUGGCGAAGGCGACUUUCUGGACUAUACCUGACACUGAGGCGCGAAAGCGUGGGGAGCGAACGGGAUUAGAUACCCCGGUAGUCCACGCCGUAAACGAUGGAUACUAGGUGUAGGGGGUAUCGACCCCCUCUGUGCCGCAGCUAACGCAAUAAGUAUCCCGCCUGGGGACUACGGUCGCAAGACUAAAACUCAAAGGAAUUGACGGGGACCCGCACAAGCGGUGGAGCAUGUGGUUUAAUUCGACGCAACGCGAAGAACCUUACCAGGGCUUGACAUCCCGCGCCAGGCUUGGAAACAAGCUGUUCCGGCCUUCGGGCCGGACGCGGAGACAGGUGGUGCAUGGUUGUCGUCAGCUCGUGUCGUGAGAUGUUGGGUUAAGUCCCGCAACGAGCGCAACCCCUACUUUUAGUUGCCAUCAUUCAGUUGGGCACUCUAAAGGAACUGCCGGUGACAAACCGGAGGAAGGUGGGGAUGACGUCAAAUCAUCAUGCCCUUUAUGUCCUGGGCUACACACGUGCUACAAUGGUCGGUACAAAGGGUUGCAAAGCCGCGAGGUGGAGCCAAUCCCAAAAAGCCGGUCUCAGUUCGGAUUGCAGGCUGCAACCCGCCUGCAUGAAGUCGGAAUCGCUAGUAAUCGCGAGUCAGCAUAUCGCGGUGAAUACGUU
rnacentral:rRNA from 1 species